AGCACUACAACGGGUGGAGCCUGCGGUUUAAUUGGACUCAACGCCGGAAACUCACCGGGGGCGACAGCAAUAUGUAGGUCAAGCUAAAGACUUUACCAGAAUCGCUGAGAGGAGGUGCAUGGCCGUCGUCAGUUCGUACUGUGAAGCAUCCUGUUAAGUCAGGCAACGAGCGAGACCCGUGCCCACUGUUGCCAGCAUGUCCUUCGGGAUGAUGGGUACUCUGUGGGGACCGCCGAUGCUAAAUCGGAGGAAGGUGCGGGCUACGGUAGGUCAGUAUGCCCCGAAUCUCCCGGGCUACACGCGGGCUACAAUGACUGGGACAAUGGGCUCCUACCCCGAAAGGGGAUGGUAAUCUCAUAAACCCAGCCUUAGUUCGGAUCGAGGGCUGUAACCCGCCCUCGUGAAGCUGGAAUCCGUAGUAAUCGC
rnacentral:rRNA from 1 species